ACCAGCGUCCGCGACAGCAACUUCCUCUGCUUCUCAAUCCUUAUACACCCCAGCCGUACCUCGAACACAUUGAACCAAGGCCUCCUCCCCACCCAGCCAAUAGAAGCUCUCACAUCUCGCACUCCAACGAGGACUGCUCAGCUCGCAUCGGCAUUUUGGGUCUCUAGAAGCUGCCGGUUGCUCAAGUGUCUCUACCCACGUGAUUGUCGUCGGAUCGAGAUUACUGUUGGCUUAUCCUCUCUGCUCCGAUGUUAGCUUUCAUCCCUCCAAAAAUUGAGUUAAGCUCUCUUGUCCCAGCCUGGUCAACAACAAUCAACACAGUAGGUGCCCUUUAUCUUCUAAGAUGGCUAGAAAAGGUCGUUACAUGAAAAAACUGAAAUUAGGACCAGGGUGUCAGCAACCACAAAUGGCUCCGCCUCUGGUCUCGGCUUCCUACCGCGAUGACUCUCAAAUUCUCCCAGACAGUGGUGAUAGUAUCCCUACAGCUUCACGCACGUUCCUUCUGCCGCGCAGUGUACCUAGGCCUGCUCUACAAAUGAGCACAAAUAAUAUUCAGAACUCGGAGCCAGGCCACGUAAACUUAGCAGCUAAUGCUAAUGAUGUAGAUUCUGUUGAUCAAGAAGCUGAUGACCCCUUUGUUGAUUCUAGAGCUCAAAAUCUCAAAGGACGCAAAACUACAGAGUUUUGGGAGGUUAAGAUCAUCGAUUUCGAUGGCAUAAUCAAGCCGGCAAGACUAAGCGUGAGAGAGGCUAUGGAACGGCCUAACGGUAGAAAGAUCGUGCUCAGGUUCAACAAUGCAAAGCAAGCAAUUGGAAAUGAAACUGGACUGUUAGUGGCGUACUUGGUCUGCUAGGAUCUGACUUUGAAAAAUUUUCUGAGAAAAGUUGGUGUAAGAUUACCACUAAAGACAAGGUUUAUAACGAGUGUGUCAAGCAAAUUUUCCACUUUGAUGAAGAUAGCGAAGGAACUAUCAAAAAAAUAUUUUGAAAAGUAUGGGGAAGUCUUGGAAGGAAACAAGACUGAGGUUGUAUAAUGCUUUUUACGAGCCAACAUUCAUGACUAAAUAAAUAUUAAGCACCGUUUGCCGGGAAUCGAUCGGGAGCAUUGGAGAUGGUUCCUUGAUUAUCGCGCCAAAGCUGAGAUGAAGGAAAAGUGCAGAAAAAACGUGAGGAUUCGAUCAAAACAACUAUAUACCCAGACUGGCGGUUUGAAAAGCUUUGCACGGCGGAUGGAAGAAGAGUCGGAACAACAAGGGAGAAGAGUCGGUAGAGGAGAGUUCUGGAUCACAGUGCACAAAAAAAAUCUGGCUCCUAUAUCAAUGAUGAAGCAAGAGCAAUUGGUAAAAGAAUUGAGGAGAUUGAGUAACAAGAUGAGUCAUCUAGAGUGUUGUCUCAAAAUGAUUCCAUUGCUCAGGUUUUCAGAAAAGAGAAACCGGGUAGAGUACGUGGUAUGGGUUUUGAACCGACUCCUAGUCAACUCUUCAGUCCGAAUUCACAUGCGCCUAGCAACGAAGUCUAACUAAUGGAGACCCAGAGGAAGCUGCUUGAACUGCAGGUAGAGUUGGAAGGCGAAAAGUUGAAUAGGAAGGCAAUGGAGGAUGAGGCAGCAGCAGAGAAGAAAAAGAUGAAGGCAAUGGAGAGUGCUCUGAUUUAUCUGUUUCAACGGCAAGGUGAGGAGCUGCCACCAGACAUCGCUGCAGGGAUGAGUUUCGUGGAAUGAUAGAGUGAAAAAUAGAAUAUUAGGAUUAGAGAUAUUUUGGAUUGAAGCAAACAUUUUAUUGAAUUAGA